UACAGAGGUCUCAAGCGUUGUUCGGAUUCAUUGGGCGUAAAGGGUGCGUAGGCGGCACGGUAAGUCGGGUGUGAAAUCUCGGAGCUUAACUCCGAAACUGCAUUCGAUACUGCCGUGCUUGAGGACUGGAAAGGAGACUGGAAUUUACGGUGUAGCGGUGAAAUGCGUAGAUAUCGUAAGGAAGACCAGUGGCGAAGGCGGGUCUCUGGACAGUUCCUGACGCUGAGGCACGAAGGUCAGGGGAGCAAACGGG
rnacentral:rRNA from 1 species